rnacentral:rRNA from 1 species
AUUGAACGCUGGCGGCAGGCCUAACACAUGCAAGUCGAGCGGAUGAAGGGAGCUUGCUCCUGGAUUCAGCGGCGGACGGGUGAGUAAUGCCUAGGAAUCUGCCUGGUAGUGGGGGAUAACGUCCGGAAACGGGCGCUAAUACCGCAUACGUCCUGAGGGAGAAAGUGGGGGAUCUUCGGACCUCACGCUAUCAGAUGAGCCUAGGUCGGAUUAGCUAGUUGGUGGGGUAAAGGCCUACCAAGGCGACGAUCCGUAACUGGUCUGAGAGGAUGAUCAGUCACACUGGAACUGAGACACGGUCCAGACUCCUACUGUAGGCAGCAGUGGGGAAUAUUGGACAAUGGGCGAAAGCCUGAUCCAGCCAUGCCGCGUGUGUGAAGAAGGUCUUCGGAUUGUAAAGCACUUUAAGUUGGGAGGAAGGGCAGUAAGUUAAUACCUUGCUGUUUUGACGUUACCAACAGAAUAAGCACCGGCUAACUUCGUG